GACGAACGCUGGCGGCGUGCCUAACACAUGCAAGUCGAACGGGGUAUUGAGAGCUUGCUCUUAAUACUUAGUGGCGAACGGGUGAGUAACGCGUGAGAAACCUGCCUCUCAGUGGGGGACAACAGUUGGAAACGACUGCUAAUACCGCAUAACCCGCUAAGGUCGCAUGACCUGGACGGAAAAGAUUUAUCGGUACGAGAUGGACCCGCGUCUGAUUAGCUAGUGGUGAGGUAACGGCCCACCAAGGCGACGAUCAGUAGCCGGCCUGAGAGGGUGAACGGCCACAUUGGGACUGAGACACGGCCCAAACUCCUACGGGAGGCAGCAGUGGGGAAUAUUGCACAAUGGGGGGAAACCCUGAUGCAGCAACGCCGCGUGAGUGAAGAAGUAAUUCGGUAUGUAAAGCUCUAUCAGCAGGAGAAAAUGACGGUACCUGACUAAGAAGACCCGGCUAACUACGUGCCAGCAGCCGC
rnacentral:rRNA from 1 species